rnacentral:rRNA from 1 species
AUUGAACGCUGGCGGCAGGCCUAACACAUGCAAGUCGAACGGUAACAGGAAGCAGCUUGCUGCUUUGCUGACGAGUGGCGGACGGGUGAGUAAUGUCUGGGAAACUGCCCGAUGGAGGGGGAUAACUACUGGAAACGGUAGCUAAUACCGCAUAACGUCGCAAGACCAAAGAGGGGGACCUUAGGGCCUCUUGCCAUCGGAUGUGCCCAGAUGGGAUUAGCUAGUAGGUGGGGUAACGGCUCACCUAGGCGACGAUCCCUAGCUGGUCUGAGAGGAUGACCAGCCACACUGGAACUGAGACACGGUCCAGACUCCUACGGGAGGCAGCAGUGGGGAAUAUUGCACAAUGGGCGCAAGCCUGAUGCAGCCAUGCCGCGUGUAUGAAGAAGGCCUUCGGGUUGUAAAGUACUUUCAGCGGGGAGGAAGGGAGUAAAGUUAAUAUCUUUGCUCAUUGACGUUACCCGCAGAAGAAGCACCGGCUAACUCCGUG